AUCUACUUUUUCGUGGGGGAUAACGUAGGGAAACUUACGCUAAUACCGCAUACGACCUACGGGUGAAAGCAGGGGAUCUUCGGACCUUGCGCGAUUGAAUGAGCCGAUGUCGGAUUAGCUAGUUGGCGGGGUAAAGGCCCACCAAGGCGACGAUCCGUAGCUGGUCUGAGAGGAUGAUCAGCCACACUGGAACUGAGACACGGUCCAGACUCCUACGGGAGGCAGCAGUGGGGAAUAUUGGACAAUGGGCGCAAGCCUAAUCCAGCCAUACCGCGUGGGUGAAGAAGGCCUUCGGGUUGUAAAGCCCUUUUGUUGGGAAAGAAAUCCAGCUGGCUAAUACCCGGUUGGGAUGACGGUACCCAAAGAAUAAGCACCGGCUAACUUCGUGCCAGCAGCCGCGGUAAUACUAAGGGUGCAAGCGUUACUCUGAAUUACUGGGCGUAAAGCGUGCGUAGGUGGUCGUUUAAGUCUGUUGUGAAAGCCCUGGGCUCAACUUGGGAAUUGCAGUGGAUACUGGGCGACUAGAGUGUGGUAGAGGGUAGCGGAAUUCCUGGUGUAGCAGUGAAAUGCGUAGAGAUCAGGAGGAACAUCCAUGGCGAAGGCAGCUACCUGGACCAACAUUGACACUGAGGCACGAAAGCGUGGGGAUCAAACAGGAUUAGAUACCGUCGUAGUCCACGCCCUAAACGUUGGGAAGUGGAUGUUGGGUGCAAUUUGGCAUGCAUUAUAGAAGAUAACGCGUUAAGUUAGCCGCCUGGGGAGUACGGUCGCAAGACUGAAACUCAAAGGAAUUGACGGGGGCCCUCACAAGCCGUGGAGUAUGUGGUUUAAUUCGAUGCAACGCGAAGAACCUUACCUGGCCUUGACAUGUCGAGAACUUUCCAGAGAUGGAUUGGUGCCUUC
rnacentral:rRNA from 1 species